rnacentral:lncRNA from 1 species
UUCAAAACACCAACAGUGAGAUUUAUUAGAGCAAUUUUUAAGAGCACUGAAAUGCAAAAGGGUGACACAAAGGGUAGUUAUCUAAGAUCUAUCACUGUAAAUUAAACAAAGAAGUUCAUUUGGAUUUAUUAAAAUCACUGGAAACUGAUGUCUUCCUCUUGAACAGGGUGAACCAGGACUGAUGGGUGAACUAGGCCCUGUGGGUCUGCCUGGGUUACUGGUGAGUUGAAUACCAGAAUGUAGAGUAUUGAUGCUUUUGAUAUGCUGCUUAGAGUGCUUUUUGAAUUAACCUGUAUUGAAUAGUUCAUAGCUGUGACUGAUAUUUAUUGACACACAGUUGGCUUUUUCCCUCACAACUCUGCAGAUUGCAAACUGAUGUUAAUGUGCAGCUUUAUUGUGCUGUGAUUCUUUUCUCAUUUCAGGGAAUGACAGGUCCUCCUGGACGUCCAGGUCCCGAUGGACCUCAGGGAGAGAAGGGCGAGCAUGGGCCUGUAGGAAUUACUGGACCGCCGGGUUCAGGAGGCCCUCGGGGGAUAAUGGGGUCACAUGGUGUCAGAGGAGAUCCUGGGAGGCUCGGACCACCUGGUCCAGUAGGACAUGCAGGACCAAAGGGACAUGAGGGAAGUAAAGGAGAACCUGGGGAACUGGGACUCAAGGGAGAGCCAGGACCUCCAGGCCCACCAGGGGAGCCGGGCGAUGAUGGUCUUCCAGGAAUUCAGGGUCCUGGAGCUCUGCCAGGGUUAGAGGGGCCUCCCGGAGAGGUGGGGACCCCAGGGUCUCUCAGGUCCUAUAGGUGUUCCUGGAGUUCAAGGAAGACCGGGACCUGAAGGCAAACAGGGCAUGAAGGGGGAGAAGGUACAAUCCUCAUAUCAUAUCAUAUCAUAUCAUAUCAUAUCAUAUCAUAUCAAUCUGUCUAUCUGUCCAUCCAGAAAUGCAGCAUUUUAAACACACCACAUCUUAGUCAACUAGCAACAAGUGCACAAAAACACUAAAGAGGCCCUAGUGAUAUGUUGCACAAAAUGCAAUAUUCAGCUGCACCCACACAGGAAGCAUUUUGCAGCGAUAUGGGGACCAGAGAACACAGAAGAUGAAUGACAUUUGAUGAUUUAAGCAACUAUGGGCAAAAAAAAUGAUGAUUCCAGCAAGAGUCACAUGACAGGGUAGUAACCUGGAAUGCCUAUAAUCACCUUUCAGCUUUAGAGUAAUGCGCAACAAGUUUCAUGAGAC